UGACCACUCUGUUGUCGGUUGAUUUUCCCUUCAUGUCUUUCUUUCUCACCCUGCAUUUGAUUAUAACCAAAUUUUCAACCUCUCUGCUAUCUUCUUUCAACUGUGCCAUUGAGUGAAGUACUCAUCUUACCUCUGAACUGAUGGAUAGUCUAUACAUAUGGCCUGGCGACAAACCGACGACGACUAUUGUUUUGGCAUGGCACCGAUGGCCUUUUGGGGCAUGAAGCAGUCAGUCCAGAGGACUGCGGCCAGGAUGAUGGCCUUUGUCCCUACGGCGUGAUUAAAAACAAAAGUUUCUUGCAGAUUGCUAAUUAAAACGGCAAGCGCCCCCUAGUUUCCAUUGGCAGUGAAAGGAAACUAAUCCAAUUGCUCCUGAAACACAAAUAUGUACAACAAAGGUUACCCUCCGUCUAUUUUCAGUUUCUAGAAAAUUCUAGGCCAAAUAUUCCCGGGUUGAUUAAAUAAAUGUUAGUAUUAUACUUAUAGUUUUGCUAUGCCCAAAACAGCUGAUCAAAUACUCAAUUCUUCACCUCUGCAUUUGGGGAUUUAAGCUAGCAAAGUUGAGCUAACUAAAAUUUUGGGCUUAUAGGCUGACUAGCUUCUAAAUCUUGUUAUAUAUACUGGUGAUGGAGUGACAAGGGACAUCCCUUUUCUCUUCGCUGAUUCAAUUUUUGCCAAAGGAAUUCUAUGCUUGCAAAUUAUGUCCAGCUUCUUGAUUGUUAUGGUAAUUCUCUGCCCAUUUUUUCAGGACAGACGGCAAUGUUCAAAAGAUUAAGUGGGAUUGGGGGUGUGUUCUGCUCCUGGGUACACAAUGAAAUGUAGAGCUGCACCGCAUGUGUGGUCUUCAGCGUCAGGCUGCCUAGUACAGUAGAAAUACAACAUCAAAGCAUCGUCGAGUGGAGCUGAUGUAACUAAAUAAUUUUCACCGACUCAUGUAAUUUAUUACAUGUUAACAUAUUAAUUCCUUUAUUUUUGAUAUGUGCGCAAUGCCUGAAAUAUGUAGACGCAUGUGUGCAUGGACACAUUGGAGUUCAUACUCAAGCCGUACGUGCAAAACUUGCAUUGUGUAAUCAGGUCAUCCUUACUAUUCUUACGGGCAUUAAA